rnacentral:misc_RNA from 1 species
GAUGAAGAACGCAGCGAAAUGCGAUAAGUAAUGUGAAUUGCAGAAUUCAGUGAAUCAUCGAAUCUUUGAACGCACCUUGCGCCCUUUGGCCAUUCCGAAGGGCAUGCCUGUUUGAGUAUCAUGAACACCUCAACUCUUUAUGGUUUUCCAUGAUGAGCUUGGACUCUGGGGGUUUUGCUGGCUCACAGUCGGCUCCUCUAAAAUGAAUCAGCUUACCAGUGUUUGGUGGGUAUCAUGGGUGUGAUAACUAUCUACGCUUGUUGUUUUUCCACCAGGUAACCUUCAGCAGUGGAGGUUCGCUGGAGCUCAUAGAUGUCUCUCCUCAGUGCGGACAGCCCUUUGAAUGUUUGAUCGCAAAUCAGGUAGGACUACCCGCUGAACUUAAGCAUAUCAAUAAGCGGAGGA